UUCGGGGCACCCAGUGGCCACAGGCGCGCGGCGGGCCGGCCCGAGGCCGGGCAGCAGGGCCUCCGCCAUGCCCGGGAUGGUGCUUUUCGGUCGGCGCUGGGCCAUUGCCAGCGACGACCUGGUCUUCCCGGGGUUCUUCGAGCUGUCCCUGCGAGUGGUGUGGUGGAUUGGCAUUUUGACUUUGUACCUCAUGCACCAAGGGAAGCUGGACUGUACAGGUGGCGCCCUGCUCAGCAGUUACUUGAUCGUUCUUCUUGUUCUCCUAGCAAUUAUUAUAUGUACAGUGGCCGCCAUCACGUGUGUCAGCAUGAAAGGAACCAUCUGUAAUCCUGGACCACGGAAAUCUAUGUCCAAACUGCUUUACCUCCGCCUAGCGCUCUUUCUGCCGGAGAUGGUCUGGGCCUCUCUGGGGGCUGCCUGGAUAGCGGACGACGUUCAGUGUGACAAGACGGUGGUGAGCGGCAUCGUUGCCACAGUUGUCAUCAGCUGGGUUAUCAUCGUCUCCACCGUGGUCACCAUCAUCAUCGUCUUUGACCCCCUCGGGGGGAAAAUGGCUCCAUAUCCCUCCGCUGGCCCCAACCACCUGGAUAGUCGUGAGUCCAGCCAGCUACUUAAUGGCCUCAAGACAGCAGCUACGAGCGUGUGGGAAACCAGAAUCAAGCUGCUGUGCUGUUGCAUCGGGAAGGACGACCAUACUCGAGUAGCUUUUUCGAGUACGGCAGAGCUUUUCUCAACCUACUUUUCAGACACAGACCUGGUGCCCAGCGACAUUGCGGCGGGCCUCACCCUUCUCCAUCAGCAACAGGACAAUAUCAGGAACAGCCAGGAGCCAGAUGAGGUGAUCAGCCAUUCCCCAGGACCCCCCCAGGAAGCUGAUUUGGACACCGAGUUAGCCAACUGUCGCCAUUACGUGCAGUUUGCAGCAGCGGCCUACGGGUGGCCCCUCUACGUCUACCGGAACCCCUUCACUGGGCUCUGCAAGAUUGGCGGGGACUGUUUUAGAAGCAGGACGACGGACUACGACCUGGUCGGCGGCGACCAGCUGCACUGCCACUUCGGCUCCAUCCUGCACACGACGGGCCUGCAGUACAGGGAUUUCAUUCACAUAAGCUUUCAUGACAAGGUCUAUGAGCUUCCCUUUUUAGUGGCUCUGGACCACAGGAAGGAAUCUGUCGUGGUAGCAGUGAGAGGAACCAUGUCUCUGCAGGACAUCCUCACGGACCUGUCAGCGGAGAGUGAGACCCUCAACUUAGAGUGUGGGCUGCAGGACUGUUCGGCACACAAGGGGAUUUCUCAAGCCGCCAGAUACGUUUACCAGCGCCUCGUCAGUGAUGGGAUUUUGAGCCAAGCGUUCAGCAUUGCUCCCGAAUACCGGCUGGUGGUGGUGGGCCACAGCCUGGGGGCGGGCGCCGCAGCGCUGCUGGCCCUCAUGCUCCGGAGCUCCUACCCGCAGGUCCGCUGCUACGCCUUCUCCCCGCCCAGGGGGCUGCUGAGCAAAUCCCUUUACGAAUACUCUAAGACCUUCAUUGUGUCACUCGUCCUCGGCAAGGAUGUCAUUCCCCGGUUAAGUGUGACUAACCUGGAAGACCUGAAGAAGAGAAUUUUGCGAGUGAUCGCUCACUGCAACAAGCCCAAGUACCAGAUCCUGCUGCACGGGUGCUGGUAUGAGCUGUUCGGAGGAAGCCCGGAUAACUUUCCCACGGAGCUGGACGGGGGCACCCAGGGAGACCUGACGCAGCCGCUUCUGGGGGAGCAGAGCCUUCUGUCGCACGGGUCCCCGACCUACAGCUUCUCCAGCGACUCCCCCUUGGAGUCCCCCACCAAGUACCCCCAUCUCUACCCUCCCGGCAGAAUCAUCCACCUGGAGGAAGAAGGCACUGCAGGGAGGUUUUGGCGUUCUGCUGCUCGGUACAGCGCGAGGUGGUCCCACGAAUCACAGUUCAGCAAAAUACUCAUCGGCCCCAAGAUGUUGACAGACCACAUGCCGGACAUCCUGAUGAAAGCCUUGGACAGCGUGGUGUCGGGCCGGGCCGGCUACGCCUUCUGCCCAGCUGGAGGCGGCUCAAACGUGGAUGUGGUGUAACUGGGGCUCACGCAAGCUGCUGCAGGACGAGACUCCCGCUUCUGUUCUUAACCGACAAAAAUCAGAGGGAUUCCCCCGAUGCCGGCACCUCGGAUGUCCACUGAAUCCUGUCUCAGCCCUUCAGAAGAUCUGAAAGCAGAUGAUCAUCUAACCCCUCCGAUGCCAAACCCCAAACACUCCACCGAGCCCUGUGAAGGUCAAUGAUGGUGGAGACACCAGGUCAGGCAAAUAUUGGGGGGCUGGGGGGAGCCACUCUUCUCUACCCCUGGCAGCACGCAGAGGGCUCCCUGUCCAGCAGAAGCUACAACACACCUGAGGAAGCACACGGGUCACGGCCAGUCAUGAAAUGUUAGCGAAGGCGUGUCCGUGGGCCGCCGCGGGCACUCCCUAGCAGCAGGCACACUCAGCAAAGGCCUCCGUCCGAGCUCUGAGACAUACGCCCAGCCGAAGCCACCGCAAACGGGAGAAGCACCUGUCUGUAAAAACAGGCUUCUGAGAGGAAAGGUGCCCCGGAAGCACGGCCAGGUAUGAGAGCUGUGAAGGCCUCAAGUCUCCCGUACAGAAAUGCUGGGAGGGCGGUUUGAAUUUGGGGUCCUGCAUGACUGGAGUGAACAGCACUGCCACACUGGGACCUUUCAUCCCCCCCACAAGCCCCCGCCUCUCUGGACGGGACUGCCCAGAAGGGACAGCAUUUCUAGUGUUUACCACAGUGCUCUCAAUUCACUCCUUUGUUCCAACAAAAAUUGAAAGACUUGCUCUUCAAGCAACAAAGAAACCUGCAGUUCUUUGAAGAGACGGACAAGAGAAUUGCUUUAAUUUCAUCUUACUCAAGCUUCUCUGAUCUACAAUUCUGAGAAUAUUAAAGUUGUUGUAACUAUCCGGGUUUAAUCUACAGCUGCUUUUGAAGAUGUGUGCCCCCGAGGCCUUGACAUGAUGCCAAAUCUUUGUGACACAGAGACUCAUGGGCAUCGGCCACGAAAAUGCAGCUUCAGUUCAAAAUAUCCUUCAACCACAUCUGUUCUGCCCCUUUCAAUUUUUAAGAACAUCUUUUUUGAUGAAAAUACACGCUUUGCAUCCCACAUUUAACAUUGUACCAUCUGCCUGUUCCUUUCUCCUCCUUCCCCCACACAAAAUAUGGCUUUAAAA